rnacentral:rRNA from 1 species
AUUGAACGCUGGCGGCAGGCCUAACACAUGCAAGUCGAACGGUAACAGGAAGAAGCUUGCUUCUUUGCUGACGAGUGGCGGACGGGUGAGUAAUGUCUGGGAAACUGCCUGAUGGAGGGGGAUAACUACUGGAAACGGUAGCUAAUACCGCAUAACGUCGCAAGACCAAAGAGGGGGACCUUCGGGCCUCUUGCCAUCGGAUGUGCCCAGAUGGGAUUAGCUAGUAGGUGGGGUAACGGCUCACCUAGGCGACGAUCCCUAGCUGGUCUGAGAGGAUGACCAGCCACACUGGAACUGAGACACGGUCCAGACUCCUACGGGAGGCAGCAGUGGGGAAUAUUGCACAAUGGGCGCAAGCCUGAUGCAGCCAUGCCGCGUGUAUGAAGAAGGCCUUCGGGUUGUAAAGUACUUUCAGCGGGGAGGAAGGGAGUAAAGUUAAUACCUUUGCUCAUUGACGUUACCCGCAGAAGAAGCACCGGCUGGCUCCGUG